rnacentral:sRNA from 1 species
UUAACAUCAAACUCAGAUGUUGAGCGUGAAGGAUAACGUUGCGUCAGCAACGGCCCGAAGGGCGAGGCGAAGCCGAGUCAUCCUGCACGACCCACCA